GUGAUAUUGGUUCAGAGGGGUUGGGGGGGCUGAAAGAUUGAGUUAAUUAUGUGGCUUGUGAUUCCAUUUAUCAAGCCUGUGUAAUGAAACCCCAAGAAAAACUCAGGACACUGAGGCUCGAGUGAAGUCCUGUCUAGUGAACACAUACAUGUGCUGGGUGGGCGAUGUACUCUGGAAAGGAAACAGGAGCUCCUAGUGUGGGACCCUCCUGGACUUUUCCCUAUGUGCCUUUUCAGUUGGCUGGUCCUGAUUUUUGUGUGUGUGCACGCUAAGUCACUUCAGUCCUGUCUAACUCUUUGCAACCCCAUGGACUGUAGCCGGUCAGGCUCCUCUGUCCAUGGGAUUCUCCAGGCAAGAAUACUGGAGUGGGUUGCCAUGCCCUCCUCCAAGGAAUAUUCCAAACCCAGGAAUUGAACCUGCAUCUCUUAUAUGUCUCCUACAUUGGCAGGCAGGUUCUUUACCACUAAUGCCGCCUGAUUUGUAUCCUUUAUAAUAAAAUUGAAAUCGUUAAGUCUAGUACUUGCCUGAGUUCUGAGUCACUCUAGUGAAUUAUCAACCUGAGCGGGUAAUGGGAUCCCCCAAAUACCUAGCUGGUUAUUCAGAAAUCUGGGUGGCUUGAGGACCGCCUCCACCCCCAUCCCAAUGCAAAUCUGUGGCUUGCUUGUGGUACAAAGGCAGUCUCAUCGGAGACUGUGCCCCUAGCCUGCAGAGUCUGAGCUAACCCAGAUCCCAUAUUCUGGGAUGGGAGUUACAUUGCAGGAAUGCAGAUGUGAAAAGCAAAGAGGAAGCCACACUCCCCUGAGGCUGCCAUGGUAGCAAGCGCUGGAGAUGAGGAAAUCUCCAAGGGCAAAAUGCACCUUUACAGACCUCACCUGAUCUUGCAAGCAGGACAUGUUCCUCUACUGCCAACGUGAGAGGAGCUGGGCUUCAGCUCAAAUUCGCAUAAUGAAGUAUGCAAAUUUCCUCAGGCCCUGUAGGUACAAAUGAGGUCACAUUCAUGACCUUGUUUCUCAAGUUCUUGCCAGCAUCCUCCCCUGCAAAGUGCCUGUGCCCCAUGAGAAUUUCUGGGAGCGCCUGGGGGGUGUACUCAUGAACACGCAAAGGUCUACUGGAUGCUGUGCUUCCACCGGACCACACUGUGGUAGAUGUCUUCCACUUGCCCCUCCAGACCACCUCCCCACCCUCCGGCCAUGCCCAGUGUCCUGCAAUGCUGACCUUUGUGAAUGGGCUCAUCCAAGGCUACUUUGCCCUGGCUUCUGGUCAGGUUCAGCCAAUGGAAGGCACUGGGAGCAGGAAGUUAUUGCUUCCUCGAACUUGCAGUGAGUUGUCUAAUUCUCCUAACAAAGGCUGCAGCUCUGACCAGGUGGCCGUAUUCUAACCACUUCAGCACUUGUGCCUUCAGGUCUAGGAGAGAUGAAGCCUGCUCACCCUGGGAUUCCUCACCACUUGAGCUGACCUGCAUCAGUUGUCACUGGAUCUCCCUCCCCUUCUGGGCUCUGGCUGACUUCAGCCCACAGCAGACACCAGCAGGAAAUGGAGGGGAGUUGGAAAGCACCAGCAGAGUGCUGACUAUUCUAACGCCCUUACCAGUGGACGAUGGCUUGGCAGCUGUAACCUGGUUCCGACACGGAAGGCCCCAGCCGCUUUUCAGCAACCCCAUCCUUCAGCUACAGGCCUCUCAGGGUUCUUUUCACCACUUCCUUUCCCGGUCCCUUCAAGCUGACAGUGCUGAUGGUGCUCCACGUUUCUAUCCUGGAGAUGCUGCAUCAUCCUUUUUGUUUUCCUUUCAUCUCCUCCAUGUGUCUAAAAUUCUUCUGUUUAUUAUGUUCUCUCCAAUAACACAGCUGUAACUCUGUUGCCAUCUCUCUCUUGCUGGGACUCUGAUGACACCAUGAGUCAAGAAGGGGAGUUGUCUCCCUGCUCCACCUCCCACUCUGGCUCUGGCAGGAAGUGGAUGAAGAACUAGAAGGUCUUUGAGAUAAACAUUAUACACAAGGUAUCCAAAAUCGAGAUCACCAGGAUUCUUU
ensembl:lncRNA